UACAGGGGAUGCAAGCGUUAUCCGGAAUGAUUGGGCGCAAAGCGUCUGUAGGUGGUAGUUGAAGUCUGCUGUUCAAGACCAGGGCUUAACCCUGGGCCGGCAGUGGAAACUCAGCUGCUUGAGUGCGGUAGGGGCAGAGGGAAUUCCCGGUGUAGCGGUGAAAUGCGCAGAUAUCAGGAAGAACACCAAUGGCGAAAGCAGCUUUCUGGGACGGUACUGACGCUGAGACGCGAAAGCGUGGGGAGCGAACAGG
rnacentral:rRNA from 1 species